AAGAUAGCCCUUUGAGACCCCCUGCAAAUUAUAUACUAGAAAUAUAGUUUGCUUCACUGAGCUGAAGGAGAACUCUGUUACACUUUAGGAGAGUAUUUUGCUCAUUUCAAAGCACAGAACACAAGCUAAUAAAUUCAAAGAUACAGUACUGGUGAUUAAACUUAUAUUUUGUAGCAACUUCAGUUUUCUAUGCAGCACAAUGCAUCAAUGCUGCCAUUUUGUUGUAUUGGGUACCAAAUUCUAGUCAAGUCAGAGCUAGAAAGAUAGUGCUACAGAUUUUCCUGAAAUUGAAGAUCAAGGGAUAUCAGUCACUCCACAUCAAAGAUAAGUAUCAAGUGCUAAACCCACUACUUCUUUUAUCUUUACUUCCAUUUUUCCUAUGGGCUUACUUUCACAGGUUCCCAAGUCAAUCUACAUUGGAGAUGAUGUACCUUUGCUGACACUCAGCAUGGAUGAUCCAGCCAAAAAAUUAAAAAAAAAAAAAAAAAAAAAAAAAGUAUCUGGCUGCAUAGAUUUCUUGAACCAGCUCACUUCAGGGUCACACAAAUGUGAUGCAAGGAAAGGGGCAAAAAACAACAACAAAAACAAAUUAACCAACCAAAAAAACCCCUCACACUCUACAACACUUCCCCAUCCACCCCCCAAAGGCCCUAGCAGUCCUGACUUGGAUCAAAUCAGCAAGCAGAUCCUUGAGGGUGGGAGGGUGACGAAUACAUAA
rnacentral:lncRNA from 1 species